UAAUAAUUUCUGAUAUAAACAAAGAAAACUUAAAAUGCCUCCAAAUUUAAAAUUUCUAAUAAUUUACGAAAAGUCUCCAAAUUUCAAAAAGUUCAAAAUUUUUUCAAAUUUUAAAAUGUUAUAAUUUUCGACAAUAAAAUGAUUUAUAGAUGACGACAGAGCGCCACAUUUGACAUUCAAACACUUAAAAGUUUUAAAAAAUCAAUAUUAUGCUAUAGAUAUUCUGUUGAAAAUGUAAAUGAGUGCCGCAUGAUGGAUGUACAAAGUUAUGCGAACUAACAUGUAAUUUUUUAUAUCAUAAAUGAUACUAUUGUUUUAAUGUCGCAGGUUUAAAUUUUAAUCAAAGUUUUUUUAACGAUUUACAUUUUUUCAUUACAAUAACGCUCUUUUAAAAAAUGUAUAGAUCUACAUAUGUAUGUAUGUACAUACAUACAUAUAUACAUAUGUAUAGUAUUUCACAAUUAUUGCCUCUUGAAUAAAAUAAAUUUUAAUAACACUAAAUUGCAACAAAAUAUCCUUUAAUUAAUGUUAUUGGAAUUGUUAAACUAAAAUAAAAAUAUAUCGAUAAUACUUUUGUUUACAUUUAUUGCAGCCAUUUACAUGCAGACACCAUAUAACACCGUAUCAUACACGACGUGCGUGCGAACUCGUGGUAAAUGAAAACAAUAACAUCGAAUAACGUAAAUUUAAAGCGUUGGUGUAAACAAACAAGGAAAUAAUAAGCUGUUUAAAAAUAAGUGAAUUUUGUUUAAUUUUGAGCUAAUGUUGUGUUGUGAAUAUGAUUUAAGUGUUAAAAAAAGCUAAGAAUACUCGUAGUGUAAUAAAAUCAGUGAAAAUUUGUGAAAAUUGUGCAAUAAAAUCAUAGUGAAAAUUUAUGAAACACGUGUGCGAAAGUAGCUUGGCUUAAAUAUUCUACGGUAACUGCGGUAUUUCAGUGCGCAAACGACUUACAUACAUACUUUGUGGACCUAUUGAAUGAAAUUGAAAUGCUAAAAUAGUAAAAGAGCGGUUAAUUCGUAUUGGGGCAGCCUAAUUUAGAGCGCAUAUUAUUUUGUGCAACAUAACCUUAAUGCAGUUAACUAGCAGUUGGGUUAGCGCACUUUAUACACAUUAUUGUUACAUUUGUGAUAAUAAACUAGGAUUGUGGGCAGUGCUUAAAGUUUGCUCGAAACUUUUUACAAAAAGACUGAGGUUUACUUUUUUUGCUGAUUAUUUAUUUACUCCGGCACAUAAUCAACAAAGCUUGAGUUAAGCAAUAAGCAGCAAGUGCGAAGGCAGCGACACUUUAUUAAGACGCAACAACAAAGUAACCCUGAGUAUUUCACAACUAGAUGUCGCUCUUGUGCAAGCAAACUGACAGUUAACGGAAAUUAAAUUUGUGGUGUCAUACAAUUAGACAUUUUUUACAUUCUCUAAACAAUUAAAUAUAUUUUAUUAAUUUUGAAUAUAAUUUGCAUCCAAAGCAUGAUAAAACUGGUUAAGGUGGCUUAAAGUGUGUAAGUGUGUAAAUAAGAAGCAGAAAUUGUGAAGUAAUUAGAAAAAGUGAUUCAAGUGCAAUAGCAAAGCGCCUAGCAGGCAUAAGCGCCACGCUGUGCUGCUUUAUGUGUUAAAACUAUCAACAGGAGCAUAAACAAAAUCUUCUUUCUAAUAUUUACGCUUCUGUAGAGUAAAGUGCAUUAAAUAUUAAAUAUUAUUAAGUAUUCAUCAUGAAUACUCGAAAGUGUUACAUCUUAAUUAUAGUGUGCAUGCACGAACGAAUAGUUUGUGAAGGUGUGGAGAGCUUCGAGUUCAUAUUACGUUAGCUUCAAAACAGCAAUAAUUAUAUUAACGAUGUAUGAAGUAAAUACAUACGAAUAUCUCCGUUGGUGCGAAGCAGAAAUCUCUAAGUUACCCAGUUACUACCAUGACGGCAGCAUCUGAAACGGUGAGUUUUAUCUUUACUUUUGCCUAAACCAGCAUUAAUAUAUUUUUAGGAGUGCCUGCGAACUCCUUUGAUAUAUUGUGUUAGCACGUCCAAUUAAAUCUUAAUUUCCAAAAAGCAUUUAAAUAGGGCAGCAAAAGUUGUUAGUUUAUUGGGUUUCCAUUUUUUUAAUCCUUACAUGAACAUUUUC